AUAUUCUUCUUAUACCAUAUCCUGCUUGGUCGCAUGUCAUUUAUAUGCACCCACUCACCAAAAGGUGGCAGCAUCCAUAAGCGCCUUCUAUCAUUUCAAUCAGUUUUUGUGAUCCUCGGGAUAUCAUCACAAUUCCUCUGCAAUCUCUAUGGCAUAAUUCUCUCCAACUAUGGAAGAAUAGGAUUGUUUACUGAUUUGAAGUGGUAAGGAUUUGGGUGUUCGGAAUUUUUCUAAAUGGCUAGCAAUCAUCAACCACAGAGGAAUUCUGCAGUACCACGUAAAUCAGAUGUAUUUUGCAUACGCACCCAACUCAAGCUAAGGUCUGAAAAUUUCAAACAAAAUGGUACCAGAAAUCGAGGACUUCUGAUAAUGAAUUAGAACCUGCAGAUGUCCAAAUUUCCUCUGAAAAAUUGGUUUGAAGCAAAGGAAGCAUAAUUUCGUUAUGGACAGCCUUAAUUCUGAAUUGGGUGUUAAAGAUGGGAAGAUUCACAUAAACCAGAAGUUGAAGACAAUUGAUCCUAACGUUCCCUGCAAUUCAUUCAAUGCAGCCAUAUCAAACAAGAGGAAAGGGAAAUCCCUGGUGGAAGAGGAGACUAGUAGUUCGGUUGAGAGCAAUUGGCCUUCUUGCAAGAAGAUGAAGUCUGCAUCUAAUUCUUCUCAGUUCUGUAUUGAGGGUAAGCCCACAUACAGCAGGGGCCACUCUGAAUCUCCUUCCUCAGGGUUGUGUGAAGGGGGUCGUCAUGUGGCUCCUGCCCUGCACCUGAUGGUGAAUACUGAUUUCAUAGUGACUUCUCCCCUGAAGCAAGACUUGAUGCUGACACUGGCUUUGAUUCACAGAGAGAGAGAUUUGGAGAAAUUGAUAUUUGUGGGUUAUUUUAGAGCUUUCCUGUCCUUCAGGAAUUUUGGGUUGGGACCUGAUGCCUUGCGUAUUCGAACAGAAUCCAAUGCAGGAGGAACUUCAACUAUAUCAGAGGCAUUGUCAGUGGAGUAUUUUGUGAGAAGAUUCCAAGCCAAAGAGAUUGUGACAGAAAUGGAGGUUGAAUAUAGCCAUCUUAAUUGGAAGAAAGUUGAUUAUAUCUGCACGUUAAAUGGUCAAAGAGUUGGUGUUUCUGUCACUCGAGCCAUGUCUUAUCCAGAUCCAGAUCAUUUUUCUCCAGAUAUGGCUAACAGACUGCUUCAUAAGAAGCUAUUUGGUUUGGUUGUGGCCAGAGAUGGAGUGGCUGAUAGGCACUGCUUUUCUCAAUGCAUUCUUCAUGUCUGGUGUGAAACAGAGAGAACUGCAAAGCUUCUUCAAGCAGAAUAUGCAGGAAUUUGAGAAUCAGGGGCUACCCCUGUUCAGGAAACUUGAUCUGAAUACCUUGCUGAAGCUUUUUUGAGGAUGUUUCUCAAGAACUGGAAGUCACGGAUGAUGUCAUUAUGGUGCUAACUGUUGCAGAUGGAUUACAUGCGAAGCCCAUAUUUUAUGAGUAUUGUUUGAAUUGAUAAAGCAUAUUGGUAUUAGUGCCCACCCGAUCACAUUGUGAGUUAAGGUUGCAGAUGGAUUACAUGCGAAGCCCAUAUUUUAUGAGUAUUGUUUGAAUUGAUAAAACAUAUUGAGUCAAGGUUGCAGCCAAUCCUCUCAAGUCUUAUCUAUUUAUUGUAUAUAGCUACCAACAUUUCAAAUAUACAGGCCAAGGAUCUAUAAAGAAAUUGUACAGUCUACGAAGAAAUUGUACAUAGUAUAUAUCUGUAUUCAAUCAGGAUCAUAAUAAUAUUUGUAAUCAAAUAUGUUGCAAAGUUAUUAUGAUAUGGGUCCCUCUCUUGAAAUUUAUGUAGAUUCCAGAUUGUGCAUAUCUAACAGUGAGCACUUUCUCUGGUAAGGUCGGUAAAAACUAUGCUUUAAGGGCAAGUUACUUUUAUUUCAGAUGCACAUGGAGGACACCUAUGUAAGGAUAAAGAGAAAUGGCAGUGGAAGACGGUCAAUAUGCUUUAAAGGCGACGAAGUUAAUAUGCUCUA